rnacentral:lncRNA from 1 species
GAGACUGGGGAGAGGGACUGGGGAGAGAGACUGGGGAGAGGGACUGGGGAGAGAGACUGGAGAGAGGUACUGGGGAGAGACUGGGGAGAGACUGGGGAGAGGGACUGAGGAGAGAGACUGGGGAGAGACACUGGGGAGAGAGACUGGGGAGAGGGACUGGGGAGAGAGACUGGGGAGAGACUGGAGAGAGGGACUGGGGAGAGAGAGACCGGGGAGAGAGACUGGGGAGAGAGACUGGGGAGAGGGACUGGGGAGAGAGAGACCGGGGAGAGAGACUGGGGAGAGAGACUGGGGAGAGGGACUGGGGAGAGAGACUGGAGAGAGGUACUGGGGAGAGACCGGGGAGAGACUGGGGAGAGGGACUGGGGAGAGAGACUGGGGAGAGGGACUGGGGAGAGAGACUGGGGAGAGACUGGAGAGAGGGACUGGGGAGAGAGAGACCGGGGAGAGAGACUGGGGAGAGAGACUGGGGAGAGGGACUGGGGAGAGAGACUGGGGAGAGGGACUGGGGAGAGAGACUGGGGAGAGGGACUGGGGAGAGAGACUGGGGAGAGACUGGAGAGAGGGACUGGGGAGAGAGACUGGAGAGAGGUACUGGGGAGAGACUGGGGAGAGACUGGGGAGAGGGACUGAGGAGAGAGACUGGGGAGAGACACUGGGGAGAGAGACUGGGGAGAGGGACUGGGGAGAGAGACUGGGGAGAGACUGGAGAGAGGGACUGGGGAGAGAGACUGGAGAGAGGUACUGGGGAGAGACUGGGGAGAGACUGGGGAGAGGGACUGAGGAGAGAGACUGGGGAGAGACACUGGGGAGAGAGACUGGGGAGAGGGACUGGGGAGAGAGACUGGGGAGAGACUGGAGAGAGGGACCGGGGAGAGAGAGACCGGGGAGAGAGACUGGGGAGAGAGACUGGGGAGAGGGACUGGGGAGAGAGACUGGAGAGAGGUACUGGGGAGAGACCGGGGAGAGACUGGGGAGAGGGACUGGGGAGAGAGACUGGGGAGAGGGACUGGGGAGAGAGACUGGGGAGAGACUGGAGAGAGGGACUGGGGAGAGAGAGACCGGGGAGAGAGACUGGGGAGAGAGACUGGGGAGAGGGACUGGGGAGAGAGACUGGGGAGAGGGACUGGGGAGAGAGACUGGGGAGAGGGACUGGGGAGAGAGACUGGGGAGAGACUGGAGAGAGGGACUGGGGAGAGAGAGACCGGGGAGAGAGACCGGGGAGAGAGACUGGAGAGAGACUGGGGAGAGAGACUGGGAGAGGGACUGGGGAGAGAGACCGGGGAGAGAGACUGGAGAGAGACCGGGGAGAGAGAGACCGGGGAGAGAGACCGGGGAGAGAGACUGGAGAGAGACUGGGUAAGGAGAGGCUGGUUAAGGAGAGACUGGUUAGAAGAAUGGGAGCCCAGAACCAUAGUCAUAAAAGGCAGCCCUGCUACAAAAGCAUUGAUCCUCUGAACAAUUGCUGCAUGACAGAAAUGAUGAUCAUUGCAGAACUCAACUACUGCGUUUCACUGAAGAGAGAAACAGAAGGAGUGAGAGAAAGGGAGACUGGGGAGAAGAAAUCAUUCCUUCCUGGGACUGGAAUUACAGUAUAGUGAAAUGAAAAGAGAUGGAAAGGGGAAAAGAAAGAGGAAAUGUUCAAAACAGUUUCAGAU